CACGUAGGCGGCUUGUUAAGUCUGGGGUGAAAUCUCCCGGCUCAACCGGGAGGGGUCCUCGGAUACUGGCAGGCUGGAGGGGAGCAGAGGAGAGCGGAAUUCCCGGUGUAGUGGUGAAAUGCGUAGAUAUCGGGAGGAACACCAGUGGCGAAGGCGGCUCUCUGGGCUCUACCUGACGCUGAGGUGCGAAAGCGUGGGGAGCGAACCGGAUUAGAUACCCGGGUAGUCCACGCUGUAAACGAUGGACACUAGGUGUGGGGGGUAUCGACCCCCUCCGUGCCGAAGCUAACGCUAUAAGUGUCCCGCCUGGGGAGUACGGCCGCAAGGCUAAA
rnacentral:rRNA from 1 species